UGUUUCUCGGCGCGCAAAGCUAUAAAUAAUGGCACAGAUCAUUAAACCCCGAGAGCAGGCCCAGCCGCCCCGCAAACAAGAUGAAGUGCAAACCACCACGUGAAAGAGAGAGCGGGAGGUACAAGGGAGAGACCCAGGCCCAGGGCCAUUAGGCCCCAGCCUGCACCCCUCAACCCAGGCCCAGUGAACUUGGGCCUCCAAGGAUCAGAGAUGACCUACCAUCCAAGACCCACCCAUGAUAGAACCAGAACAAAUAAAGAAGUGGGUGCUCAAGUGCCUUCCUCUUGUCACCUGAGGCUUCCAUCUGCUUCUACCCUCUGAAGGAUCUCAU
rnacentral:lncRNA from 1 species